rnacentral:piRNA from 1 species
UGGGGACACAUCUUUUCUUAAAGCUUGCU